GAUGUCUAGCAGUGCCAA
rnacentral:siRNA from 1 species